rnacentral:lncRNA from 1 species
AGAGAAAAAAAAAAAAAAAAAAAAGAUGACGAUGUUAUUUGAGGCGGUAAAAUUUUGGUGAGAUAAUAUCAAACUUCCCGUGACUAAUGAGCUGUUUUUACCAACACUGGAUCAAGCGGAAAUUUAGUGUGCGGCAACAGGAGGCCGGGCGUUUGAAUGAUCAUGUUUUUUUUUUUUUUGAAGAAGAAGAAGAAGAAGUCCCACGCAUCGCGUACAUGAGGUAUUGGAGACAGUGUGGUUCCCUAAUUGAGUGAGGCACCCGCAAGUUUUGACGCAGACGCGCUUGUAUAAACGAUUCAAAGCAUCAUAAUCAGCUCCAAUUUUUCAGCCACGUUCUACUUGUUGGAUAGAAUUUUUUCGUCUGUUUAUCCUUCGAAGAAUCGCCGGUUCUUAUGUGGUACGACGUGAAAGCUGAAGAAUCGGAGGGAGGAGGAAAAAGAGAUUGGUAGUGGUGGUAGUGGUUCGGCGUUUGGCUGGAUCACCUUGUGCGUAUAUACACACACUUUGAAAAUGCCUCGGUGUUCACAGAUACGAAUCGAACGGACAAACAGUUAAGGUAUGGAACCGGCCCAUCAACUCACAGGUGAAUUCAGGUAUAGACGAAGUGAACACUACUUAAUAGUGUACGUCUACCUACGGCAGUAAUUCUCAUGACGUAGGUUUUCGUUAUUAUCGUGUAAAUUUAAAUUUUCAAACCUGUAAUACUCGCAAUAUUUCGACGGAUCUACCGACAUAAUUGCAGUUGCAAAAUUCAGUGGCAUUUAUUUAUUGGGCCGCCUGAAGUGGUGCGAAAACUGAGCGAAAACCGCCAGCGUUUCUCAAAUUGAAAUGUGAGAAAAACGUCUCGUUGAUUCGGUCCGGGUUUCCAUCGUCACGAUUUUAAGAUGAUCAACGUAUUGCUCCAGAUAUUGUCGAGUGCAGCUGCGUUUCGAGACGUGUGCGGUACUCGAGAGGAAACGAUGAGGAAUUCGUUGACCUCUGCAUUAUGGAGAACUACCCAACGCUGUUGCACAUGACGCCCAUUGGGAGGAAAGGCAAAAGAAAGAAGAAGAGACCCUUCGUGGCAGAUGUUCGCAAUUGAAUUCAAGUACGAAAUAUUCAUUUACAAAAUAACAAUAAAACCAAGAUUAUUGAAUUUUCGUAAAUGCGUAAAUUGUAAUUGAGUUCCGCGAAUGAAAAUCGGUACCGAAACAGUCGGACCUUGAGCACCACUGGAGGAAACAAGGCACCUGAGGGUACCUUAUACGACGCUGUGAAGAUCGGUGAAAGCAAAAAGUUUCUGCUAUAGUGGUGAAUGACCGAUGAUGACUGAGUUACCAGUGUAACCAAGUAUACCGUCCUAUUGGCGGACGGGGGCUCUACUCGAAAAAUUACCGAUUUCGCCGAUUGUAAGUGCCAAUGGAAAUAGGCGAGGCUACUCCGACUGCAGGCUCGGCGUCGUCGCGUCGUCGUAGGUAAACUUGAACGCGUGACGCAGCACGUGACAAACAUAGAAUUUAUAUAUAUCCAUGUUCACCUACUACUACGACCGACAACUAAUCCAUGUAAGCGAGUUACGCGACGAUGACACUGAUGUGUGGGCGUUAAACGUCCUCUGAGAUGAAAAACCGGAUUGUUAGAAUCGAGAAAAUGUAUAUUUGGGAAUAAUAAUUAACAUACGAUGAGAUCUCCAUUAAAAUCUGAUCGACUAACCACAAGAGUUGUCUCAAUGACGAAGACUUCCUCUCAAUGGUCUACACCGAGUUUUAACACUGACACAACAUUUAAAUUCGAAACGAAAGGAGCAACGUGUUCUCUUCUGUUCUAUACACAUGCAUCGAUUGGAGAUUAAACACGAAUGUACAUUCUGUUUCAUGUUCAACGAUUACUGUGCGGCAGUUCUGAACGACGUAUACACGAGCGAUGAAUAAUGAGGAAAACAAGACAAGAUUUUCGGAUUUAAAUCUCGUCAUGAAUUACUCGAAUGACGAACGUUGAGAAAGGCCAGUUCUUCGCAAAUAGCCGAAGGUGGUGUCAUUCUUCAAUUUUCGUUGCUACGAAGUACACGUGUACGAGCAGCUACGGUAACUACCUAUGUCCUAAGUUUAUUCUAGUUCGGCGUGUAAUCUGAUAGUUUCUUUUUCUUUUUGUUUUGUUUUCACGGUACAAUAUGUACAACAGGUUAAUUAAACGCCCUAGGAGUUUUUUCUACUAACAAGUAAGUCUGCACCCAUUGUAAACGGGGUUGAUAACAUUCACCGUUCGCCUGCGGCCAGAUAUACGUCGUCACCAAUCGGAACGAUCGAUUGACGAACAUCAUUUGGGAUCCCAAACUCACAAGCCCCUCAGGGUGUGAGGGACUGACCUCGAUAAGACGAUUUCCAGGGCUCGUUUCAGACGCGGAUCUGCAUUCAUAUUUCUUUACGUGCUAAUAUGGAUGGCAUUAAUGGAAAAGGGAUGAAAGUUUUCGGGGAGAAAGAAUAUCCAGAUCUGCACGCACCGCACCAAUUACAGUAUCGGAAACGAUAGCAAAAAUGCCGACACGGAAGAUUAGAGGUAAAAAUAUCACAUUCACUCAUCACAAUAAUCAGUCUCCAGACAACUGUUUGUUUGAAUGUUUCGCUACCUUCUGAUGAUAAUCAAGCAACGAGAUGAUGAUAACUUUUAUAUUUGACCCAAAUUUAAAAAUCCAAUUUAUUGGAAUUGAUUCGCCAAAUAUAUCGGUCUUAUCUUAAUUUCAUUAUUGCAUUCCCGAAUAGCGUAUGCUAAUAUAAUAAUUCAAUAUUUGAAGAGGAUUUAAACAUUUCGAAUUACUAUUUACCUGUUAUAUUUUCACAAUCAAAUCCUCCAUCCUAAUUUCAUUAUUCAUAAAAUUAUGGGCAAGAGAUUUUCAUUGCUUGCAAGCCCGGAUCUAAUCGCAUCAUGAGCUGAAAUGUCACCACACGCUAAUUGGUAAAAAAAAAGUUAUUAAAAAGUUGCGAAAUGAAAAAUUCAUACCAACUCGAUCUGAAUAUCCACUGCUAUUAUUAAUUCCCAAUGCGAUAAGAAAUGAGGGAAAUAUAAAUAUGAGAAAUUACAAAAAUGCGAUAACCCUAAACUCGGAUUGUGCACAAAUCAGGAAUUAUAUGAUGAAGAUUCAGAAUUUCAUAAUUCCGCAGUUUUACGCGUGCAGCUUAAAAAAUAAUGUAAUCUAUACAUGAUCGUCAAUUAUACAAAAGGUCCUGCAUUCGUGCAAAGAAAAGAAAAUGAUAUAUACGUCACAUUUUUCACUCAAAUUACCCCGAAUUACUAUCAGUUUAUACAUUUGUAAUCACGGGUCUCAUUGACUCAUUAAAAUUUUGAGGAAACUUAAAGAAAAAGUCAUGUGCCAUAGAUAUCAUGUGCUUGUUAACAUUUGCCAAGUAUAGUGAAUACCCAUUCUAACAACAGCUUACGGCAUGUGACAAGGCAUAUUUGUUAAGCUUAAAUAUCGCGUAAUUACGAAACAACCCGUUUUACCAUCUUGUCUAGUUGAAGUAUCGAAUCAUUUCAUUAUCAUCACGUGAGAGUGGAUGUAUCGUAUUUUUACAUGUACCU